GUUCCAUUGAGGCGAGCGGGGAGCGCGUGCUCUGCAGAGCACAUGGGCAGCAAAGCAGCCAAGGCAGCAACUCCAUUGCUCCCUCCGCCUUCCCCUCGCUGCACAGCCCAGGCCGUGGAAGCCUUUCCUAGACCCUUGUUUUUUUUUUUUUUAAUUUAAAGGAUCCAUAUAUAUAUAUAUAUAUAUAUUUGCAACCGACUGCAACUUGGAUGUUUCUGGAGAACCUCCUCCUCCUCCUCCUCCCCCUUUAUCCGGCCUUGUUGUAGGGGAUGAUGGGUGGUCUCUGGGCUUCAGUUCCCAACCAAUCCGGGGGUUGCAGCAACAUCUCCAAGGUUGUGGGAUUUAUUGAAACACUCAGAAGACUCCUGAGAAUGUCAGCUGCAGACUAAAUGCCUUCAGGGGGAGGAAUUCAUUCUUUUGUACAUUUCACGAUUUGGUGCACAUGUAGCACUGAAGAUGGAUUAUUCUCUUAUUAUCACUGGAAUAUAUUUUUUUGGAAAAGGAAACACAACAAAAGCACGAAUCAUUCGAAUAUAAGGCUGCCCAAUCUUCUAUGUCAUGCAAGCAUGUUGCUGCCCAGCUCACAACAUGAUGCUUACCUCAUCCAACAGCUUCAACCCAAAUCAAGCCAAAAUACCAAGGAAAUGCACAGAAACAUCUUGACAGAGGGACGCAAGGAACAAUUAUGCCAGAUACAGCUUUCCCCACUAUUGCAUUCAUGUAAUGGGGACAGUUAUACCUUCCAGAAUAUUUCCUUGGAGUUAGAAAUUAUAAAUAAUACCAGGAUGGAUCUGUAAGAAGAUUUAUUGAAAAACAAAACCUUUUUGAAAAAAGAUAAAGAUGAUUUGACUGUUACUGGAUUUGCCUAUUAGUAGAUUAGCAGUAAUUGAAAUAAGUGUGUAGUAGGGGAAACUAGAGAUAUUUAGAUAAUAUUGUUAUAUAUAAUAAUUGAUACACAGUGCUUCUUUUUCGUCAUCAUCCUUAUAUUCAGUAUGGAAGAUAUUUAGAAGUAUCCAUUGUAGAAAAUGUAGGUUUUUUUCUCUUUCUGGUUCGUUAGUUUAUUGUACUUUCUUUUAAAAAAUAAUGGAAAUAUAGAGUGAAAAGAUAUGGGCCUAUUUAUAAUUUUCAGUAGUUAAAAAGAAUUUAAGUUUUGUGGGCAAAGGGAGAGAGAUGAUUGGACUCACGGAAUAGUCAUAACAGUGGUUCAGGGCAGAGGAAGAUAAGGUAAGAUAGGACAGGAUCAUGGGGAAAGAGCCUCAAUUGGGUGUUGGUUGUUCCUAAACUGUACUUUGUUCUGAAUAAACUGGUUGGCUGCAGUAGUAGCCCCUGCCCUAGAUUGAGAAUGCUGCUGCUUAAGGCCAGGUUGCACCUGUUCUGGACUUGAACCUGUAUGAGCAUGAUGCUGCUCCAAUGUCAAAGAGACCUGGUUGGAUGAGGCUAGGAGGCUGGUUAAUCUCUUUGAUUUGCACACCAGGUUUCUCUGUGUUGCAGCAGAUGAGAUUAAGAGAUGGGGAGAUACAAUGGUUUAGUGCAGGGGUCCUUAAACUUUUUAAGCCGAGGGCCGGUCCACAAUCCUUCAGACUGUUGAGGGGCCGGAUUAUCAUUUGAAAAAAAUACAAACAAAUUCCGAUGCACACUGCAUAUGUCUUAUUUGUAGUGCAAAAACAACAACAACAACAAUGAAAGAACAAUACAAUAUUUAAAAAUAAAUUUUUUUAACCAACAUACAUUUUUCAGGAUUUCAAUGGGAAGUGUGGUCCUGCUUCUGGCCAAUGAGAUAGUCAAGUUAAUUAGGGUUGUUGUUGUUGUUGUUGUUGUUAUGUGCCUUCAAGUCAUUUCAGACUUUGGGUAAGCCUAAGUCUAAAAUUUAUUUAUUUAUUUGCUAUAUUUAUUUACUAC
rnacentral:lncRNA from 11 species